rnacentral:lncRNA from 1 species
UUUUUUUUUUUUUUUUGGAGGGGGGGUUGCUUUAGCUAUUUGAAAAUAUUUAAGACAGUUCCUUUAGACAGUUCCUUUAAAGUCUUUAUUUAGUAAGUCCAAUGUCUAUACUUCUUCAGAGGUGGUUUCUGCCGAUUUAUUUUCUUUCUUUGAAUUGUCCAUACAUCUCUUUGUAUGACUUUAAAGUUCUCUUGGUUAAAAAUUUGCAAAACAGAUUGCCAGCUUUCCCAGACUUUGUAGACUGUAUCUGUGCCAGAGAAGUCCUUCACUGUUUAGCUGGUCAUGCUCUGACCCUAGGGAAUCAGCUGAGAUAAAAUCUUAAGUUCUUCUCAGAGCAUUUAUUUUAUCUACAACUUUUUUGGGUGUUGUUUUUUUGGUCUUUUGUCCUUUUAGGGUGACACUUUUGGCAAAUGGAGGUUCCCAGCCUAGGGGUCUAAUCAGAGCUGUUGAUGCCGGCCUAUGCCAGAGCCACAGCAAUACUAGAUCCAAGCUGCGUCUGUGACCUACACCACAGCUCAUGGCAAUGCUGAAUCUUUAACCCACUGAGCAAAGCCAGGGAUCAAACCUGCAACAUCAUGGUUCCUAAUUGGAUUCAUUUCCGCUGUGCCAUGACGGCAACUCCUGUGUAUGACUUCCUCAAUUUUCCCAGAGUCUCACCUCAGCUUCUCCUCAGGGGUCUAGAUGGUCUUCACCCCUAACAUAUUGCUCUGGAUGUCUGCACAUCUAUAGAAUCAUUGCAACUUUCACCACCACUGGCUGCCACUUUUCUCUGAGGCCUGAGUUAGGUGAGACCAGUCCUUCAGGAAGCCCCCUGAAAGGGCGUAGGGAGGGGAGCAGGCCAGAAUGCUGCAAAUAAUGCUGCUGUUCUCUUUCCUCUAGUUUAAAGGUGGGAAUUGGAAAUUGAGCUUUCACCUUCUCCAGAGCAAGACCACACCACAUCAGGGAGUUGUUGUGGCAAAUGUGAGUAAAAAAAGCCAUAAAACUUUCUAUCAUUUGAAUGUGAUUUUUCAACUGAGCAUUUGCUUGGUUGCUAUAGACUUCUGCCUGAUUUCCAGAGCUACUACAAGGUUAUUUUAGCCAGUUUCUGGUUCUUCUCUUACGUCUCCAUGGGAUAACAAAAGUUCAGAGCUUCCUAGUUCACCAUUUUGCUAAAGUCACUAUUCCAUAUUCACCUUUAAGUAUACUGAUCCUUGUUUAAUGGCCCACGAUAUGGUCUAUCUUGGUGAAUAUCUCAUUCACUUGAAAUUUAUGUGCAUUCUGCUAUUAUAUGGAAUGUUCCAGAAAUAUCACUAAAGUCAAAGUGGCAAAUUACUACUCAAGUCUCCAAUAACCUUAUUUUUUUCUAUCAAUAACAAAAAGAUGUAUUAAAAUCUCUGAUUUUGUGGAUUUUUCUAUUUUCUUUCCUUGCAUUCCUAUCAAUUUUCACUUCAAGUAUUUUCAAAGUUUGUUAGAUACAUAAACCCUUCAGAUUGAUAUGUCCUCUUGUUAAAUUGACUCCUUUAUGAUUAUAAAGUAAAACUUUAUUAUAUACCCUCCUAACAUUCUUUGCUCUGAAACAUAUGUUGCUGGUAUUAACAUAGUCAUUCUAGAUUUCCUUGAUUAGUGUUAGCAUGGUGUAUCUAUUUCCAUCUUAGUUUUAACCUAUUGUCUUUGUAUUUGAAGUACAUUUCCUGUACGAUAUACAUAGGUGUGUCUUUUUAAAAAAAAUCCAGUCUAAUAUUCUCUGCCUUUUCACUGUAGUUUUUACAUGAUUUACAUUUGAUAUGAUUAUUACAGCUAAUAUUAACAUUUGGUUGUAUUUAUCUUAUUAGUUCCUUUUUUGUUUGUUUUCUUUUCUGCCUUCUUUUGGGUUAAGCAUUAUAUUCAUUUCCUAGGGCUAAUGUAAAAAAGUACUACCAACCAGGUAACUGAAAACAACAGAAAUAUAUUGUCUCACAGUUUGGGAGGCUAGACAUUUGAAACCUAUAUGCAAGAAUCCUUCUUGCCUCUUUUACCUUCUGAUACUUUUUCCAGCAAGCCUUGGCAUUCUUUGGCUUUUAGAUGCAUUUCUCCAAUCUCUACCUCCACUGUCACAUGGCCAUUCUUCCCCUAUGUGUCCUGUUCUCAUCUUCUAAUAAGGACUAAAGUCACACUGAAGUAGGUCACAUCCUAAUGAUCUCAUCUAAAUUAAUUACAUCUGCAAAGAUCUUAUUUCCCAAUAAGGUCAAAUUCAGAUACCAGGGGUAUCUUUUGGAGGGGGACACAAUUCAACCCCAUGACAACCAUUUUCUAGGACUCUGCUUUAUUGUCUUAUUAAUUACAACUCUGCUUGUUAAUUUAGUGGUUGCUUUAGGGUUUAUAUAUACCUCUUUAUUACAGUCUACCUUCAAGUAAUAUUAUACCUAUCACAGUGUAUAGUUUAAGAGCCUUAUAAUACUUAUAAAACAUAUAUUAUUAAAGGCAGUGGUGUUUUAGGUGAAGAUGCGUUCUUAGUUGUGACGGCUGUUUAAAACUGGCAUCUAUUCCAAUUGAUUGGGGCCACAUUGUUAAAUAUUUGAAGAUUAUUCUGGAUGGGCCCCGUUGACUGUAAAACAAACUAGCACCUCUAACUUUUAGGGGGCUCAGGAUAGGGAAAACAAUCCUGAGGGAGAAGAGUCUAAAGGAAUAACUGGAUAAAUUCAGCCCUUUCACCAGUUGCAAUAAAACAACUCAACCACCAAACCAUUGUGAUGGCUGUCCUGCUACUUAAGGUCAGUGAGGUAAAAGAAGGACCUUCUUCUACAUUGUGAAAUGGGCCAACAUCAUUCUCACAAAGUCACUUCCCCCUACCAAGAAGUUCUGAUACUUUGCUGAGUAAGAAUUUAUGUCAGUAAGAUAUUGUUAGCUAAAGACUUCUGGGAUGAUUUGAUGAAAUGGCUCAGCAAUGUGAUUUAAAAUCUGGGUUCUGCUUCUCUACACAACCAUCCAUGGGUCACCAUCAUCUCAAGGCUAGAUGCCUUGGGUGUAGGAAGGCUGAUGACACCAGUUGGAGUCAACAGCCACUGGAACAAAAUGCUUUCUUGUUCAGGCUGCAUGUUGCUUCCCAAAAUCCAUGUCAGAGGAAACAUGCUCUUUUCCCCAAGCCACAGUAAACAUCCUGUCUUAUCUGAGAGGCCCUUAAUAGUUUUGGCUGGUCCCAACCUAAGCCAACCACUGUGGCAAGGCAGGUGGCAUUAUCCAGAUUGGCUUAGAUGUAUCUAUCUACCCCUGUGGCUGGGCAUAGUUCUGAGGUCAGCCCUCCAAACUGAAUGAUAACCAUUGAGAGAAGGUGGCCUGGAUAUUGGGGGGGUGGGGGCAGGAGAACCUGAGUUCAUGAAAACUCACAUUUAUAUAUUUUCUAAUUAAAAAUCACAAAUCACUUAUAAAAUUUAAUUUCACUAAUAUUUAGGGUACAUUGGUAUUUGUAUAAGUAAAAGGAUAAGAUCUGGGUAGGUGAGAGAGCUAUCAAUGUGUUGUGUUAUACAACAAAGUUUAUGAAAGCAGUUAACUCUUAAGGGGAACAAACACAGAGGAAGUCUAAGAUUUUGAGAAGGUAUGAUGUGCUGAAGAAGUCUCAGCACUACUUCAGGUAUAUAAUGUUUGCAUAAAAGAGGUUGUGAAUGUGCUGGUCUUGAGGAGAGUUUAGGAUGGAUUGGGAAACGGAAGUAAGUGGGAUAAAAGGAAGAGUAAGGGGACAGAUGAUUUACACACUACAUGGGCAACAAUCAAUGGAUCCCUAAGGAGAGGAAGGCUGUAGUUGUUAAAAAGAUAAGUCAUUUAAAAAAAAGGAAAUCCUAGGAGUUCCCUUGUGGUGCAGUGGUUUAAGGAUUUAGCAUUGUCACUGCAGUGGCUCAAGUCCCAGUUGUGGCAUGGGUUCGAUUCCCGGCCUGAGAACUUCCACAUGCUGUUGGUGCAGCCACCAAAAGAGAGAGAGAGAGAGAGAGAGAGAGAGAGAGAGAGAGAAAGAAUCUCUAACAAGUAACAUUCUGAAUUGUAAAGUGGUCAUAAACACACUUAAAUUCCUGGUGGAACAAAUGCAGCAAGUUAUUUUAAGGUGCUUAUGUAAAUUGGGCUAUGGUUUGAGGAAUACCAGAAUUAGAAACUGGGAGCUUCUGCAGGCUGGCACCAUCACCAUCUAGCAGGUUUUGUGACCCACCCUGCUGUCACCCUGUCUGAGGCUACCUAGAAAAGGUCUGUGGUUAGGCCCACAUUUGUUGAGCUCAAGAUCCAGGGACAGACUGUCAACAGCUGAUGUGCCUUCAAUAAAGUUAUCCUUGUUCAUUAUCUUUUCUUUUUCUUCCUCCUCUACCACCUUCCUUCCUACCACCCCCCUUAAAUUUGAAGAAUAUAUUAUUAACACAAUUAAAUAAAUGGCCCAACUUCACCCAAUUAACCAAUUUCAUCCUUGAGUCAUACAAUAAAACCAUAAAAAGUAUUUUUUCUACCACUUACAUAAAAGUUUUCCUAUUAGAUUAUACUUCUAAAUCUCAUUAUCUCUGUUAAUAAUCUUAUUAAAAACUUCCUAAUACCACCUGCGAGGGAGAGGGGGAACUAAAAUUAAGAAAUUUCUAACACUUAUAAUAGACUGAAAAGUGAACACAUGGGGCCUUUCAUCCCUGCCCCUGCCAAUUCAAGUCCUAUCACUCAGAGAAAGACAGGGUGUAUGGCUGUUAAGCCUCCUUCCCCUUGGAAUGGGGACAAUUCUCAGGUGGAAACCAGACCUGUGGUAAACAGAUCAGUGGAGAAGCCUCUUAGGACCUCUGUCCUUAGAAGCGCUUGGCCACCAGACUCUAUGCCUUGAUCAUCCAGAGUUCUUAACAACAAACGCUGGAGCCUAGAAUAGAACCCUGUGGUCACAGUGCCCACAGGUCACUGAGUUCCCUCACAGGUCUGCUGACAGCAUGUUGGCUGCCAGGUCCCCAGGUAAGGGGAGAGAUGUCGGAUCCCCAGACCCAACUGGGCAGCUCAUGGAAAAACCAUCAACAGAGUGACAAUCAGAGCUUGCUGGACAGCACCAAGAAUCAGGGAAACAGGCGCUAUUCCAUACUUGGAGAGAAUAUAAAGCUUAUGGAAACAGAGAAAUCCUACUCAAUUCUGUCCUUCAACUGGAAAGAAGAGAAUAUGCUGAAAAAGAAACUCAGUUUUCUGGACUCCAUGAAGAAAUAUGAAGCUAACGCCUGGCUAAUGGAGCAGAAAGCCUUUUAUAAAAAAUGCCACUCAAAGCUCCAAAGGUCAGAGCUGGCACAUGCACAGUUACUAGGCAACAAGGACCUGGUCAAACGUCUUACCUCUAGGAAUAAGUUGUCUAACUACACCACCACCUUGGUGGAUGACAGUGAGGCAGCAGUGAAGGCGAUAGUGCAGAACAGGAGAGGGAAAUCAAAAGGGAAGCUUCUUAAAUACAUAGUCUAUGGAGACAGGAGUGGGGAGCACUCCAAGAAGAAAAGGCCAAGACCCAGGAACAACCCACAUGGCCCAGAGAAUGUACAAAUGGACCAGGUACUGCUGACCCAGAUCCAAGACAGCUUAAUGCAGGAGUUUCUCAUGAGUGAGAAAGCCAAGUUUAUGGAAGACAGAAUCCAAAGUCUACCACAGCCCACAUAUUUUCUCUUUCAAGAUUACACUUUGCACAGCCCAUG